rnacentral:misc_RNA from 1 species
CGGGAUGGCCAAAAUGUGGACCAGUAUGUGCAUACAUCAUGAUGGCCAGCUGAAGAUUGUUACAGACCUUAAGUCCCUGGAUGUCGGCCAUGUUAAGGAAACUACAAGACAUCAUCAUGAGCGCACCAAACAACUUUAUAAUGUAGUGCAAGGAUGGCAUUCACAAUUUGAAAAACUUGUGACCCAUCAAAAGCAAUGCAUUCAAACUCUUCAUAACUGGUUAAGGUUAAAUCUAAUCCCAAUUGAAAGCAGCUUGAAAGAGAAAAUAUCAUCACCGCCAAAAGCCCCGAAUCCCCCUAUCCAAGCCCUCCUCCACUCAUGGCAUGAUUAUCUAGAAAAGCUUCCAGAUGAUGUGGCCAAAUCUGCUAUCUCAUCCUUUGCUGCUGUCAUAAAAACCAUAGAACUGCAUCAGGAAGAAGAGCUGAAGCUAAAAGAGAAAUGUGAAGAAACCAGGAAGGAAUUUCUUCGUAAGAAUCAGGCAUUUGACGAAUGGUAUCAAAAGUACAUGCAGCGUAGAACAUCAACUGAUGAAACAGAUGCUGAAAGAGGUGAAGAUGCAAAUUCCAAGGAUCCAGUAUUAGAGAGGCAAUUCGCAGUGGAGAGCUUGAAGAAGAAAAUGCAUGAAGAAGUUGAAGCUCACCAAAGACAUUGCAUUCAGGUGAGAGAGAAGUCACUAGGAAGUCUAAAGAUUCGGUUGCCUGAGCUAUUCCGAGCUAUGUCAGACUAUGCUCAUACAUGCUCUGAUGUUUAUGAGAAACUGAGGGCCCUCACUCAGUUGCAGAAUUCAACUCAUGGUCCUCCAUAAUGAUGUAAAGACUCCUAAGUUAAAUCCUAGUCAGAAGUACCUUUUAUCUGAGACAGUAUGCCUUUCUAGGAUACUGGUAAUCUGUA